AUACAGAGGGUGCGAGCGUUAAUCGGAAUUACUGGGCGUAAAGCGUGCGUAGGUGGUCUGUUAAGUCAGGUGUGAAAGCCCUGGGCUCAACCUGGGAAUGGCAUUCGAUACUGCCUGACUAGAGUAUGGUAGAGGGAAGUGGAAUUUCCGGUGUAGCGGUGAAAUGCGUAGAGAUCGGAAGGAACAUCAGUGGCGAAGGCGACACCCUGGUCUAACACUGACGCUGAGGUGCGAAAGCGUGGGUAGCAAACAGGAUUAGAUACCCCGGUAGUCC
rnacentral:rRNA from 1 species